rnacentral:rRNA from 1 species
AUUGAACGCUGGCGGCAUGCCUUACACAUGCAAGUCGAACGGCAGCACGGGUGCUUGCACCUGGUGGCGAGUGGCGAACGGGUGAGUAAUAUAUCGGAACGUACCUUAUUGUGGGGGAUAACGCAGCGAAAGCUGUGCUAAUACCGCAUAAUCCCUAAGGGGGAAAGCGGGGGACCGUAAGGCCUCGCGCAAUUAGAGCGGCCGAUACCUGAUUAGCUAGUUGGUGAGGUAAAGGCUCACCAAGGCAACGAUCAGUAGCUGGUCUGAGAGGAAGGUCAGCCACACUGGGACUGAGACACGGCCCAGACUCCUACGGGAGGCAGCAGUGGGGAAUUUUGGACAAUGGAGGCAAGCCUGAUCCAGCAAGGCCGCGUGAGUGAAGAAGGCCUUCGGGUUGUAAAGCUCUUUUGUCAGGGAAGAAACAGCAGCUCUAACACAGUUUGCGAAUGACGGUACCUGAAGAAUAAGCACCGGCUAACUACGUGCCAGCCGCCGCUGUAA